GCAAGUCAUCCUUGGCUACCAAACAAGAUUCCUUUUUUCAUGUAAAGCUUCUCUUCCUCUCUAAUUUCCACCUCCAAUAUACAUGCAUAUAUAGAAGCAAUACCUUGUUGGUUGGGGAAGAAGAGAAGAGAAGAGAAGGUCUAGCAUGAAGAAGAAGAGCCUGUCAAAUUAGCCAAGGUGACUGCCUGAAAACCUACUCACGGGUUGUGACCACAACCCAAUUAUGGCUAGGAGCAGGCAAGUCAUCCUUGGCCAUCAAACAGACUCUUAUCUUCAUGUUAUGCCUCUCUUCCUCUUAAUGAUUUCAUUCGUAA
rnacentral:misc_RNA from 1 species